UACACUCCUGCGGGAGGCAGCAGUGGGGAAUAUUGGACAAUGGGCGCAAGCCUGAUCCAGCCAUGCCGCGUGAGUGAUGAAGGCCCUAGGGUUGUAAAGCUCUUUCACCGGUGAAGAUAAUGACGGUAACCGGAGAAGAAGCCCCGGCUAACUUCGUGCCAGCAGCCGCGGUAAUACGAAGGGGGCUAGCGUUGUUCGGAUUUACUGGGCGUAAAGCGCACGUAGGCGGACUAUUAAGUCAGGGGUGAAAUCCCGGGGCUCAACCCCGGAACUGCCUUUGAUACUGGUAGUCUUGAGUUCGAGAGAGGUGAGUGGAAUUCCGAGUGUAGAGGUGAAAUUCGUAGAUAUUCGGAGGAACACCAGUGGCGAAGGCGGCUCACUGGCUCGAUACUGACGCUGAGGUGCGAAAGCGUGGGGAGCAAACAGGAUUAGAAACCCCUGUAGUCCCA
rnacentral:rRNA from 1 species